GACGAACGCUGGCGGCGUGCUUAACACAUGCAAGUCGAACGGAAAGGCCCUGCUUUUGUGGGGUGCUCGAGUGGCGAACGGGUGAGUAACACGUGAGUAACCUGCCCUUGACUUUGGGAUAACUUCAGGAAACUGGGGCUAAUACCGGAUAGGAGCUCCUGCUGCAUGGUGGGGGUUGGAAAGUUUCGGCGGUUGGGGCUGGACUCGCGGCUUAUCAGCUUGUUGGUGGGGUAGUGGCUUACCAAGGCUUUGACGGGUAGCCGGCCUGAGAGGGUGACCGGACACAUUGGGACUGAGAUACGGCCCAGAAUCCUACGGGAGGCAGCAGUGGGGAAUAUGGCACAAUGGGCGGAAGCCUGAUGCAGCAACGCCGCGUGCGGGAUGACGGCCUUCGGGUUGUAAACCGCUUUCGCAUGUGACGAAGCGUGAGUGACGGUAAUGGGUAAAGAAGCACCGGCUAACUACGUG
rnacentral:rRNA from 1 species